rnacentral:rRNA from 1 species
AACCAGACUCCUACGGGAGGCAGCAGUGGGGGAUAUUGGACAAUGGGGGAAACCCUGAUCCAGCGACGCCGCGUGAGUGAAGAAGUAUUUCGGUAUGUAAAGCUCUGUCAGCAGGGAAGAAAGAAAUGACGGUACCUGACCAAGAAGCCCCGGCUAACUACGUGCCAGCAGCCGCGGUAAUACGUAGGGGGCAAGCGUUAUCCGGAAUUACUGGGUGUAAAGGGGGCGCAGACGGCGAUGCAAGCCAGGAGUGAAAGCCCGGGGCCCAACCCCGGGACUGCUCUUGGAACUGCGUGGCUGGAGUGCAGGAGGGGCAGGCGGAAUUCCUGGUGUAGCGGUGAAAUGCGUAGAUAUCAGGAGGAACACCAGUGGCGAAGGCGGCUUGCUGGACUGUAACUGACGUUGAGGCUCGAAAGCGUGGGGAGCAAACAGGAUUAGAUACCCGAGUAC